CUGGGUUGCUCUUUGUUGCUCGCCAGUACCGUGUGUGUGUGAGCAAACUAUACUAAGGAGAAUGUCAGACCUGACCCAGACCUGGUGAGCCCAGAGUCCUACCUGCUGAUGCACCGGUGCCUUGAGCCGAGGAGGCUGAACUGGUUACACGGAGUGGUCAGCAGGGCAGCCACUGCUCUUUUUCUCCGACUAUAGUUUUAUUUUAGUAUUCUGCUCUAGUGCCUCCAUCUUGCCCUCUAUUUAUAAAAAUAACAAACUGAUAUUGUGCCUUUUUGAUGACCGUUUCUUCCCCCUUCCCCACUUCUAUUGUGUUGUGUAUACUUACCAGGAUAAUUAAUAGUAUUUGUUUGUGCCCAACAUAAUCCGCAGUGCUAUUUGUUUGCAGUGGUGGUUAUUUUAGCCUUCCUUAACAGUGUGCAGUGUUUUUAUUGUUGGAAGUGUCAUUGUUGCCCCCGGUCCAUCACUAUUGGUAUACAUUAUUUUGAUGUGUUUUUAUAAAGGAAUUGUUUAAAUACAAGUGAUAUUGCACUGUACACGCAGAAGCCUCUGUCCGUCUAUGGUUUAUCUUGCAUAGGGUUUUUGGCCAGUAAAAUAAUUUCAUUCAGGGUCUCUCCCCUCAAAGAGAGUGGCGUUGUCACGUCUGGAUAUUAUUCCAAAGUAUUUUAAGUGUCCAUUUGGUCACAUAUAAUUUUGUAUUGCAGAGUUGUUAAAUCAUUAUUUUAAUUUAUUUUGUAUAUUCCUGUUUAUUGAAUGAACUGUGUGUUUUGAGACCUGACAUAGCCGAAAUCACAGAGAUUGACAGGCCGUGCAUAUGACCAGAACAGACUGACAGGUUGAUCAUUACUGUUAGUGCCAUUUUCCAUGUCGUAAUUUAGAUUUAGAUUGAUAUUAUUUAGAUUCAUGUUUAUUGAUGAUUUAUUAUAUCAUAAGUAUAAUUACACUGUGAUUACAUAAUUGUACUCAUAAUUCGCAUGUUAGUUAAUACACGUUUAGUGUACAUGCUUGGUGUAAUACAUAGGAGUGAGGCGAGUGAGCGCACUGACUUAUGACGUAAGGCACCUGUGCUUUGACGAAGCGAGAAAACGCUGUGUAAUUUUGCUCUGUCAGAUCAUUCAGUAAAGCGAACGGAGCGAACACACUGUUUUCUACCGUUGUUCAACACAUUAAACACGCGUAGACUCGUUCUUUCCGUUUUGGAGUGGUUAAAGAAAUUAAGAACUGAAGAAGCAACUGCCGAACCUAAGAAGGGAACUUUAGCCACUACAUUAAGUAGAAAACAGUCGCCGAAAGCGAGACAAGAUCAUCCGAAGCCGAGGGAAGACGCGCGGCGCGGGACACGAGUUGACGAGAGAUAGCUUGCUGCAGCGACAACGCCGUGCACCCAACCGGAUUUCCAGACG